rnacentral:lncRNA from 1 species
UGGCCUGAAUCACAUAUUUCGUAAAUACAAAUAUUGGAAACCAUCACAAAUAUAUAUGACUUAAAAAAAAAGAAGAGAUAAACAUGAAUUUGAAGAAUGUCACUUCAGACUAACAUAUGGCAUCAGAUACAACAGUGAGCUAAGAUGAGGUGAGUAAGCCCCACUCACUGAUAUAUAAGAAGGAUCUAUUGAAAACAUCAUUAGUGACAUGUUUGCAAAUGGAUUAGGGAAUCGUCAACUUCCAAUUAUAAAAUUGAUUUAGAAAAAAAUACUGCUCAUUUCUAAUUUUAAAAGUACAUGCAUAUGCUAUGCAUUCAGACAUAUUCAACAAUUUUUCCAAUUGAAGGCAGGAAUUAAAACAAGCCUUUAAUACAUAUUUCAUGAUAAUUAACAUUCAAGUCUAGUGUCAAUGAUUAACAGUUUUCUCCUCAGGUCCUUUUAGCAUCAUGGUAAUGUAAUGCUACAUGUAUAUUUCUUGUAGAAUAAUUAAUAGAUGGUAUUUAAAAUGUUUCCGUUUACCAGGAUGCUAAAUGAAAUAUCUGGAGAACACAGAAUGAGAUUAACAUACAUGUAAUGCGAUUAAAUUUCCGACUUCAGAUAUUAAUUCAAUGCUUUUGACUUUGUUGCUCGAGUCUCCAUACUUCUCUGAUGUCAUGAAACUAUUUCGUGUCCAUUCAGUUAGAGCUAAUACUGUAUUUGUUCAUCAACAAAGUCAGAAUACCCAAUACAUG